rnacentral:rRNA from 1 species
CGCAAGCCUGACGGAGCAAGACCGCGUGCGGGAUGACGGCCUAAUGGUUGUAAACCGCUUUUCUCUGGGAAGAUGAUGACGGUACCAGAGGAAUCAGCCUCGGCUAACUCCGUGCCAGCAGCCGCGGUAAUACGGAGGAGGCAAGCGUUAUCCGGAAUUAUUGGGCGUAAAGCGUCCGUAGGUGGUCAUUCAAGUCUGCUGUCAAAGCGUGGGGCUUAACUCCAUAGAGGCAGUGGAAACUGGAUGACUUGAGUGCGGUAGGGGUCGAGGGAAUUCCCAGUGUAGCGGUGAAAUGCGUAGAUAUUGGGAAGAACACCAGUGGCGAAAGCGCUCGACUGGGCCUGCACUGACACUGAGGGACGAAAGCUAGGGGAGCG